rnacentral:antisense_RNA from 2 species
GCCCAUGGCGGGCGGUGCGUGGGGAUCCUCGUGAUCCGUCGGCUUUUUUCGCUUCGAUUUUGACCGGCACGCCAACCCGCACCGCCCGCCACCUUG